UCAAGUUUGGCAAAAGAAAAAGGCCGUUAAAGUUAUCUUCAUUGCAAUAGUUGUGUGUAGUAAUUGUACGACAAGAAUUUUCAAACAACCGGUACAUUUCAUUUUCUUUGAUAUGCUAGAGGGUGUAUGUAAAAAGUAAAUGGUGAGAUCAUUAUAGUGGUCUUUGGGUGUGUAGAUGGCCCUAAUUGCUCGGCUGUAGUUCAUUAUCGAGUUUAAGGAAGCUUGGGUGAGAAGGAAUUAUAUACACUACGUGGAUUGUGGUGUUGGAAGUAAUUGUUUAAGCAUAGAUUUUAAAUAAUUUCAUUGAAAUUUGAUAUCGAAUCUCCAAUUGAUCGAGAAUAAGGAGGAAAUGAGAUGGAUACGUAAGUUGUAGCAGAAGCAUAUUGCAGAAGAAAUUAACAUCUGAGUGAAGAAGAAGAUUUGACAAUGUGUUUAUGUUUAGUUAAUGUUUUAUUUAUUUAUUUUGUAACUCUUUUAGUCUUGGGUUUUGAGUUUUAAGUGUUGGGAUUGACUUUGGAAAUAAUUUUCAUGCACAAUUAUUAUAAGCAAUAUAGUUGGAGUAUCUUUUAUUUCGUGAGAGAGAUUAUGUGAAUGUAAUGAAAAUUUUAAUUUGUAUAU